CUUAUUGAAGUGACUACAAAUCCCAUUCAUUGUGGGCAAGACUGAUCCCAGGUAUUAGGAUUGUUAAAGCAGAAAAGCAGAAGAGACGCUUUUUGAAGACCAAAUCCAGAGUCAGCAGGACCUAGGGCCUAGAAGGUAUGACAUAAACAAUAGGUUUGGAAUAAUUCAGGAUGAUGCCAAGUCCAGCUCAGUCCUCCUCCUCCUCCUGCCCCCACAACCACCCCUCUCAAUGAUACAGGAGGAGAAGAAGGAGAUUAAGAGAAAAAGGAAAAGAAUUGGAGGCUGGUU
rnacentral:lncRNA from 10 species